rnacentral:antisense_RNA from 1 species
UUGGCGGUGUAGUCCCAGAUGGUGUCGUCCUCGACGAGUACCCGGUCGCCGAACAUCUCCCCGUCGGCGAGUACGCCGAUGCUGACCGGGUCGCCGUACGCGCCGACCCCGAUCUUGUCGACCUUGCCGUGCGCGAUCAGGUACAGGUUGUCGGACAUCGAACCGAACUCGACGAUGACCUGGCCCUGCUCGUACUCCCGCUGGACGAACCGUUCGGCGAUGCCGCGCAGCAGGUCCUCGUCGUCGAUCGCGGCGAGGAUCGCGAUCUCCCGGAGUUCGGCCGGGACGACGUGCACCGACGCGCCGGUGUUGGUGAAGGUGAGCCGGCCGUCCCCCAGCCGGUAUGUCAUCCGGCGGUUCACCCGAUAGGUGCCGCCGCCGACCUCGACCCAGGGCAGCUUGCGCAGCAGCCACCGGGAGGAGAUCUCCUGCAUCUGGGGUACGGAUUUGGUGGUGUGCGCGAGGUUGCGGGCGGCGGCAGUGCUCAGGCUCUGCCG